UAUCAUGAAAUCUCUCAUACACUAUAAAGACAGAGAAGACAUUUACAGGGUAUAUGUGAAGUGUAUAGAUACAGAUUAUACAGAGGAAUAAUGAAGACCCAAAUAGGCCUUUUUAUAUCAUUAUCGUGGCUGUCAGGUGUCCUGUCUUCUAACCAACUUGUCCAGUCUGAUCCAGCCGUGCUAAAGCCGGGGAACUCCCAUACACUCACCUGUCAGGGUUCAGGAGGAUUCACCUUUGGUAGCAAUUAUAUGAACUGGAUCAGACAGUUCUCUGAUGGAAAGUUACAAUGGUUGUGUUAUAUCGGUAGCGGUGGGGACACGGGCUAUAAUGAUGCUGUUAAAGGGAGAUUUACAGCCACUAGAGAUAACAGCAAUAACAAGCUGACUCUGAAAAUGGACACCAUGAAAAUAGAAGACACUGCCGUGUAUUACUGUGCAAGAAACACACUGAUGGAAAAUAUAUCUUUCCUAUAACAAUAAGUAGAAUAUCACUUCUUCAUGUUAUCAGUAGGUGGCAGCACAUCCAUGUAAUGACUGAACACAAUAGCUAUAAAUAAUAAACAGCCAACUAAUUAAU